CAAUUGAAAAGAAGCAGUGAGGGUGAAGUGUCUUCCCUAAGGGCACAACAGCACGUGACUGGGACAGAGUGGGAUUCAAACCACCAACCCUUCGGUUAUUGGACAACCUGCUCUACC